rnacentral:rRNA from 1 species
GAUGAACGCUGGCGGCGUGCCUAAUACAUGCAAGUCGAGCGAACAGAUGAGGAGCUUGCUCCUCUGACGUUAGCGGCGGACGGGUGAGUAACACGUGGAUAACCUACCUAUAAGACUGGGAUAACUUCGGGAAACCGGAGCUAAUACCGGAUAAUAUAUUGAACCGCAUGGUUCAAUAGUGAAAGACGGUUUUGCUGUCACUUAUAGAUGGAUCCGCGCCGCAUUAGCUAGUUGGUAAGGUAACGGCUUACCAAGGCAACGAUGCGUAGCCGACCUGAGAGGGUGAUCGGCCACACUGGAACUGAGACACGGUCCAGACUCCUACGGGAGGCAGCAGUAGGGAAUCUUCCGCAAUGGGCGAAAGCCUGACGGGGCAACGCCGCGUGAGCGAUGAAGGUCUUCGGAUCGUAAAACUCUGUUAUUAGGGAAGAACAAAUGUGUAAGUAACUAUGCACGUCUUGACGGUACCUAAUCAGAAAGCCACGGCUAACUACGUG